rnacentral:lncRNA from 1 species
GACGCUGUCCCGAGUGCUCGCGUCUCCAACGCUCUAGAGUGAGAUUAUUCGAUGGACCUCACCUUCGUCUCACUACCAAUGAAGACUGGCCUGAAACAACAAUAAAUAAAUCAUUAAUAUGAUCUAAAUAAAAGAAUCAAAUUUUAUUAUAUAAAAAAUAUAAUAAUAUCACUAAGAUCCAUCUCACUGGGACCCACCUCACUAGGAUCCUCUGAUAGUGAAGCUGGUGCGGCAA